AUGGCCCUGACUGAAGAAGACCAGCUGUUGGUUUCAAGCAGAGGCCUCCACGAAUGACUUCCUAUGAUUUGUUGGCAUCUCUGGAGAAUGACUAUUUCAUUUGGAAGAAACAACU
rnacentral:snoRNA from 1 species